rnacentral:rRNA from 1 species
AGAGUUUGAUCCUGGCUCAGGAUGAACGCUGGCGGCGUGCCUAACACAUGCAAGUCGAACGGAUGCCUUCGGGCAUUAGUGGCGCACGGGUGAGUAACACGUGGUUGACCUACCCCAAAGUAGGGGAUAACGUUCCGAAAGGAAUGCUAAUACCCUAUAAGCUCGUGAGGUUUAGAAGCUGACGAGAAAAGUUCCGGCGCUUUGGGAGGGGACUGCGAACCAUCAGCUGGUUGGUGUGGUAACGGCGCACCAAGGCGACGACGGUUAGGGGACCUGAGAGGGUGGCCCCCCACACUGGAACUGAGACACGGUCCAGACUCCUACGGGAGGCAGCAGUGAGGAAUAUUGCACAAUGGGCGCAAGCCUGAUGCAGCGACGCCGCGUGGGUGAUGAAGGCUUUCGGGUCGUAAAGCCCUUUUCUAGAUGACGAGUAAGGACGGUAGUCUAGGAAUAAGUGUCGGCUAACUACGUGCCAGCAGCCGCGGUAAUAC